rnacentral:rRNA from 1 species
AUUGAACGCUGGCGGCAGGCCUAACACAUGCAAGUCGAGCGAGAGGCGGACGGGUGAGUAAUGUAUGGGGAACUGCCUGAUGGAGGGGGAUAACUACUGGAAACGGUAGCUAAUACCGCAUACCAUCAGAUGAAACCAUGUGGGAUUAGCUUGUAGGUGAGGUAACGGCUCACCUAGGCUACGAUCCCUAGCUGGUCUGAGAGGAUGAUAAGCCACACUGGGACUGAGACACGGCCCAGACUCCUACGGGAGGCAGCAGUGGGGAAUAGUGCACAAUGGGCGCAAGUCUGAUGCAGCAAUGCCGCGUGUGUGAAGAAGGGUUUCGGGUUGUAAAGCACUGUCAGUCGGGAGGCGUUAUCGACAGAAGAAGCAACGGCUAACUCCGUGCCAGCAGCCGCGGUAAUAC